UAAAGAAUCAGACUGGCAAACAAAAGCAAGUAUGUUUUCUUUCUGUCUGAACUAUACCUACAUCUUCUGCUAUGCACCUCACUGAUCUUUCUUUCCAGCCCCUGAAUGGGAGGAAGCCCCAGAUGACCAAUCCUGUUGGUAUCAAGGUGGGUGAAAAAUCUAUGGCUAAAGUUGGAGCAGCAUUUAACAUUUACAGGUACAGCUGGAUGUCUCAAUGUUUGUGGGAAGCCUGCUGCAUGUCACCAUCUGGAAACAGAAACAGGAGGUGAGGCUGGAAUUGCAGUAGGACAUCUGAAUCAGAAAAGGGAGGUGAAAGUCAGGAGAAAUGGCUUCUUUUGAAUCACAAACAGAAUAUCCCUUCAGCCACCAGUAACUCAAAUCCUUGGUAAAACCAGCUCCUUGCUAAAUUCAUCACAAGCCACAGACAAACACCCCCCAAAAAAUGUACUACUUCUCUAGGUGCAGGCUGCAGCUUGGGGAAGGGCUUUGAUUGCCGGAUGUGAGACAGCAUUUUGUGAAGUGACUGGAGCAAGGGGAAACUUUGGCUAUGAAGACUUUCCUUGCAGACACACCCUCCAUGCCAGCCACUUGCAGGGAAUCAAUUGUCCCAGCUAACCCUCCAGAGGAAUUUCCUUCCCUUUGGAAAACUCAGCUCAGAUUCCGUCUGUGGUUUUCAGCAAGAAUACUGCUUUCCCCUUCUUCCCGCAUAAUUUUCCAGCCAGAUUGACUGAACUGCAGAAAGGUCAAAUGACUCUCUGAAGUCCCUUCAGAUUGUCAUCGAGUUGCCCUCAAUAUGAGCUGAAGAGAGGUCUGGUCCCUGUACUGCAGCCGGAGACACAGAGAUCGGGUUUCCAGAACGCUAGCAAUCCCCAGCUUGCCGCAAAGUCAGAUGGAGACGAGUGGCCAUGGAGACCACUCAGGAAGAAAAAGGAAAUAAAGAAGAGUGACAGUUUACAGGGGAAGAGUCGUGUGAAAUAUCAGCAGAGCAGCAUCAGUGGUGGCACAGAGGGAAAAGCCCCACAACAGAAGUGCCCCCAAAUCGUCACACACCAAUGUCCAUGACUUCAUGAGCAGCAGCAACUCAGGUAAGCAUGUGCUUUGCAGAUAGACAAAGCCCAGUCUGUGUACAGGUUUUUUUCCUAGUGGCUGUGAAAUUCAGAGGUGGGAGAGAAACCUGGGCUGUAUCAUAGACUGCCGGUGGUCCACCCCCUCCACCCAGCCCUGUAGACCGUCCAAAACAUUGUCAUUGCACCCCAGAAGGCAAGCAGACCUGGGAUAGAUCCAGAAUGGAUUACAACAUAAUCCAAUUCACAGGGAGGGGUAUUUUUGAAAGAGGAUUAUGGUUUUUUUUUUUUUUUUUUUUCUGGCUGCCUGCCAGAAAAUAAAUAAAUGCUGUAACUCUCAUGUAAUGUUUUUAGAAGGUAUGGCAAUGGAAAGAGAAGGCUCUUUUCCAUGUCCAUGUUAGAGAGCAGGAGGAAGAAAGCUGAUUUUUGCAGCAGUGUGCCAAGCAAUCUCAGAGUAUGCAAGUUAGAAAUGCUGGUGUUUCCCACUGAGCGUUCAAGAACAGUAUGAAUCUGAAGAAAAUGGUGCUUCAUUUCUAAUCAGAACAAUGUAAUAUGGGUGUUGGGUCUGCAUCCCAGCAUCGAAAGGCCUCCUCCUGAACCCUUUGUGACCUUCAGGGAGGUUUGCAUAAUUAGCUUGAUUAAAUACAGCACAAUUUUAGCACCAGGGACCAAAACCCACAAAUUACCGAGGCUCGCAUGUUUUGCAAAAUAAUACCAUUCAUGUGAUUAUUUGUUUUGCUCUAAUCAUUUUUGAAAUAUUAUUCCAUUGCUUAGAUUUGAAUUGCUGGUUGUAACAGAUAGCCGGUUUGCAAAUAAAAUGUAAGUC
rnacentral:lncRNA from 7 species